rnacentral:rRNA from 1 species
GAUGAACGCUGGCGGCGUGCCUAAUACAUGCAAGUCGGGCGAACGGACGAGAAGCUUGCUUCUCUGAUGUUAGCGGCGGACGGGUGAGUAACACGUGGAUAACCUACCUAUAAGACUGGGAUAACUUCGGGAAACCGGAGCUAAUACCGGAUAAUAUUUUGAACCGCAUGGUUCAAAGGUGAAAGACGGUCUUGCUGUCACUUAUAGAUGGAUCCGCGCUGCAUUAGCUAGUUGGUAAGGUAACGGCUUACCAAGGCAACGAUGCAUAGCCGAACUGAGAGGGGGAUCGGCCACACUGGAAGGGAGACACGGUCCAGAGUCCUACGGGAGGCACCAGUAGGGAAUCGUCCGCAAUGGGCGGAAGUAUGACGGAGCAACGCCGCGUGAGUGAUGACGGUCCUCGGAUCGUAAUACUCUGUUAUUAGGGAAGAACAUAUGUGUAAGUAACUGUGCACAUCUUGACGGUACCGAAUAAGAAAGCCACGGCUAACUACGUG